rnacentral:rRNA from 1 species
GAUGAACGCUGGCGGCGUGCCUAAUACAUGCAAGUCGAGCGAACAGACGAGGAGCUUGCUCCUCUGACGUUAGCGGCGGACGGGUGAGUAACACGUGGAUAACCUACCUAUAAGACUGGGAUAACUUCGGGGAACCGGAGCUAAUACCGGAUAACAUGUUGAACCGCAUGGUUCAACAGUGAAAGACGGUCUUGCUGUCACUUAUAGAUGGAUCCGCGCCGCAUUAGCUAGUUGGUAAGGUAACGGCUUACCAAGGCAACGAUGCGUAGCCGACCUGAGAGGGUGAUCGGCCACACUGGAACUGAGACACGGUCCAGACUCCUACGGGAGGCAGCAGUAGGGAAUCUUCCGCAAUGGGCGAAAGCCUGACGGAGCAACGCCGCGUGAGGGAAGAAGGUCUUCGGAUCGUAAAACUCUGUUAUUAGGGAAGAACAAAUGUGGAAGUAACUAUGCACGUCUUGACGGUACCUAAUCAGAAAGCCACGGCUAACUACGUG